GACGAACGCUGGCGGCGUGCCUAAUACAUGCAAGUAGAACGCUGAAGGAGGAGCUUGCUUCUCUGGAUGAGUUGCGAACGGGUGAGUAACGCGUAGGUAACCUGCCUGGUGGCGGGGGAUAACUAUUGGAAACGAUAGCUAAUACCGCAUAAGAGUAGAUGUCGCAUGACAUUUGCUUAAAAGUUGCAAUUGCAUCACUACCAGAUGGACCUGCGUUGUAUUAGCUAGUUGGUGAGGUAACGGCUCACCAAGGCAACGAUACAUAGCCGACCUGAGAGGGUGAUCGGCCACACUGGGACUGGGACACGGCCCAGAGUCCUACGGGAGGCAGCAGUAGGGAAUCUUCGGCAAUGGACGGAAGUCUGACCGAGCAACGCCGCGUGAGUGAAGAAGGUUUUCGGGUCGUAAAGCUCUGUUGUAAGAGAAGAACGAGUGUGAGAGUGGAAAGUUCACACUGUGACGGUAACUUACCAGAAAGGGACGGCUAACUACGUG
rnacentral:rRNA from 1 species